GUUUUUCUUUCCUUUGUUUAUGUUGAUUUUUCCUAUGUUUUCCUCUAAUUUUUCCUUUGUGACUCUCAAUCGGGUGGGAGGUGUGGAGCAGCUGAAUAGGGAAGCUUAGACGAUGGCUAGGGUUUUGUGUUUGGUGUUUAUAUAUAAGAAUUUAAAGGGUAUAAAUAAAUUAUCAAUCAAUUUAAAAAAAAAUUGUUAACUGUACCUUAUUUGUUAAGGUUUUCGGUAGGCUAUCUAAAGAUUUGGAGUUCAAAUCCUCUCGUUCUUCUAUUAUGUAUAUAUUUUAUAGGGUUCAGGUAGCAGAUACUUGAGAGGCAAAUCCCAAACCCAAAUAUGUUUAAAUUUUAAAUUCCAAAUCCUUCCCAAAUCGUACAGGGUAUUGCAAACAGAUCCUAUUAGGAUUAGAGAUGGGUCAGAUAUCCGAAAAAUCCAUCCAACUGGCAUCGCAACAGUUAAAAGUCACACGGUCUCACAAAGAUGUUGAGGAGAAUCCAAAGGCUGUGAUGAUGAACCUACCAGCUAUGUAUGGGAGGGAGGGAAAGGGAGAGAGAGCUUGACUUGGCUCCACUUGUGUGGAUCUUCAUCAUAUUGGCCAUUGUUUUUCCCAUGCAGCAAUGCCCGUUUACAAUGGUGGCAGGCUGCUUGGAUGGUCUGCUGCUUUGCAGGCAACCAGUGGCAAGCCAUGCAUUGAGAAAAGUGAUGUGACUGCAAUAUCUGAUGGGCCAAAAGUGAAUCUGAGCCUCUGCUUCUUCCCAUCUUUCUUCUUUUAGAACUAAGCCCUUGUUCACUUGUCCGCUGCUAUUUCAGAAUUUUCUUUUUUUUUUUCAAAAUUUUUCCAUGUUCAAAAUGUUUAUCUGAAAUGAUUUGUAGUUUAUGGGUUUCUAUUUCUUUUCUUCAUGUCAAAGUUGGAUCCUGACUCGACCUGACCCAUUUGCAGCCUUUAUGUCAUUUGUUGAGGUAUGAAAGCUCCAGGGAGAAAUAAAUAAGGGUUGGUGACUUGGUGCUCUCCCAAGUUGCCCCCCUCUUUGUUAUAAGAUGAACAAAAAUUCUACAGAGUGCCUUCCAUAGUGAUGGUCAUCUCCUAGGUCAUGAACUGAGGAUUGUCGGAACUCAGCUCUUAAACCCCAUACCUCUCUCUAUGUAUGUCUUGCUCUAUCUUUCUCUGGAGGCAGUGAUGAUGAAGCUCUUGUAGAUUCCUCCAGUAUUUUUCUUUUGUGACUAUUGCGAGGUAGCUUGUAUGGCCUGCCACUCCACUGACAACCUCUACUGCCAUUUGUGGACAAAGAAUGCGGAAGUGGGAUGAUGGUACAAAGGUGAAUCGGAGCCUCUCCCCACUUGUGUCUGUCCUUUUUAUGUUCCGAGAUAGGGCUUUGUCACAAUGAUAUUUGUCGUCUUUAUUCUUCUCAGAACUGUCACUACCAUCUAAAUGGCAUCAAAUCCUCUUUUUUGAGCGUACAAGUCUUUUACUUGAUUCGUGCUUCUAACCCAACUUGAUUUGUGCUUGUCUCAAGUUGAAUCUAGAGACAUGCUCAAGCUGCUUGAUUCAUUGGACAGCUCUGUUUUCGGCCCAAUCUUCUGCUCAGCUAUGAGGCUUGACGGAGGGAACCAGGAACAGUUGGUCAGUUGGUGCUCUGGUGCAACCAAGAGCUGCCCUCUUCCACAAUAUGACAUGGCUGUUAUUUAAGACCUCUCUGUUUUGAAUGCAUUCCUCUCUUUAUCUUGCUGUAUCUUCUCUAUUGAGGCAAUGAUGAAGCCUCUUUUCGACUCCUCUCUCUGUUUUCCUUUUGUGACAGUGCAUGGCAGUUGGGAUGGUCUAUUUCUUCAUAGACAACUGCUGCAGAGGAGUUGCAGCAGAAGGAUGUGGGGAUCUGUGCGAGUGUUUUAGUCCCACAUCGGUUGUUUGUUUGGGAGGCUAUAGCAGGGCAAGGACAUAUUUCAUAACCUUCUAGCUAGACCAUUUUGGGUGAGGUUUUUGGUCAUUACAAAAGAUGAAUGAUGGAUCAAAGGCGAAUCUGAGCCUC